UCCGGUUGAUCCCGCCGGAGGUUACUGCUAUCGAGGUUCGACUAAGCCAUGCGAGUCGAAUGUAGCAAUACAUGGCGUACUGCUCAGUAACACGUGGACAACCUACCCUUGAGACGGGGAUAAACCCGGGAAACUGGGUAUAAUACCCGAUAGAUCUCGACUGCUGGAAUGCAUCGAGCUCCAAAGCUCCGGCGCUCAAGGAUGGGUCUGCGGCCUAUCAGGUAGUAGUGGGUGUAGCGUACCUACUAGCCUACGACGGGUACGGGUUGUGAGAGCAAGAGCCCGGAGAUGGAUUCUGAGACACGAAUCCAGGCCCUACGGGGUGCAGCAGGCGCGAAAACUUUACAAUGCUGGAAACAGCGAUAAGGGGACCUCGAGUGCCAGGUUACAAAUCUGGCUGUCGUGAUGCCUAAAAAGCAUUGCAUAGCAAGGGCCGGGCAAGACCGGUGCCAGCCGCCGCGGUAACACCGGCGGCUCGAGUGGUAACCGUUAUUAUUGGGUCUAAAGGGUCUGUAGCCGGCCGGAUAAGUCUCUUGGGAAAUCUGGCAGCUUAACUGUCAGGCUUUCAGGAGAUACUGUCUGGCUCGAGGCCGGGAGAGGUGAGAGGUACUUCAGGGGUAGGGGUGAAAUCUUGUAAUCCUUGAAGGACCACCGGUGGCGAAGGCGUCUCACCAGAACGGACCUGACGGCAAGGGACGAAAGCUAGGGGCACGAACCGGAUUAGAUACCCGGGUAGUCCUAGCCGUAAACGAUACUCGCUAGGUGUCGGCCACGGUGCGACCGUUGUCGGUGCCGUAGGGAAGCCGUGAAGCGAGCCACCUGGGAAGUACGGCCGCAAGGCUGAAACUUAAAGGAAUUGGCGGGGGAGCACCACAACGGGUGGAGCUUGCGGUUUAAUUGGAGUCAACGCCGG
rnacentral:rRNA from 1 species